rnacentral:rRNA from 1 species
AUUGAACGCUGGCGGCAUGCCUUACACAUGCAAGUCGAACGGUAACAGGUUAAGCUGACGAGUGGCGAACGGGUGAGUAAUGUAUCGGAACGUGCCCAGUCGUGGGGGAUAACGUAGCGAAAGCUACGCUAAUACCGCAUACGAUCUAUGGAUGAAAGCGGGGGAUCGCAAGACCUCGCGCGAUUGGAGCGGCCGAUAUCAGAUUAGGUAGUUGGUGGGGUAAAGGCCUACCAAGCCGACGAUCUGUAGCUGGUCUGAGAGGACGACCAGCCACACUGGGACUGAGACACGGCCCAGACUCCUACGGGAGGCAGCAGUGGGGAAUUUUGGACAAUGGGCGCAAGCCUGAUCCAGCAAUGCCGCGUGCAGGAAGAAGGCCUUCUGGGUUGUAAACUGCUUUUGCCGGGGGAUAAAAGAUCCAUGCGUGGAGAAUUGAAGGUACCCGGUGAAUAAGCCACGGCUAACUACGUGCCAGCAGCCGCGGUAA